UCUUCCGUAGUAUAGUGGUCAGUAUGUGAGCUUGUCAUUCCAACAACCGCUCGAGACCCGGGUUCAAUUCCCGGCGGGAGAG
rnacentral:tRNA from 1 species